rnacentral:tRNA from 1 species
GGGUUUUUAGUAUAAAUUUAAUACUUUUGAUUGCAGAUCAUUUAAUUUUAAACCUU